UUGUGGACAAUUCCGUAGGCCAAGCGAGUGCAAGGCAAAGGGAAUUAAUCACAGCCAGAGCGGGAGGUCACUGACUGGCUCCCGAAACAUCACGGUUGGGUCAUGCGUCUCGGGGCCACGGCUUCAUACACACACCACCACACUGUCUUAUCCCCCGUCUGCUUUUUCCCCGGUCCAAGAAGAGUCUAGCUCAACCCCAGACACAUACGCGUGCUCACACACACUCACUCACGCUCAAACACAGUGAAAUAGGGCGAUUCAGAGGACGGAAACGUUCUGUGAAGUGUACACAGCGUGCUUUCUGUGGAUGGCCUGCGUGUCUUCAGCACCGGCACAAUCCUCUAAGGACCUGGCCUGACUCAUCUGCGUGUGUGACAGUAAGAGCUAGCAGUAUGGAGGUUGACAGGAGCACUGGCUUUCUGGUGCAGGAACACAGUCCCAUGGUCAUGUCCAUGAGUUGGAGUGGAUAA
rnacentral:lncRNA from 1 species